UUUCCGUAGGUGAACCCGCGGAAGGAUCAUUCAUAAUAGGUGUUUUACUGCACUUUUUAAAAAUAGUACUCACCUUGUGUGCAAUGUUGUGUUUCUUUUCGGAGAAACACCUACACCAACCUAUAACCUUGAACCACUUUGUCUGAAAAACUAUUAUGAAUACUUAAUUCAAAAUACAACUUUCAACAACGGAUCUCUUGGCUCUC
rnacentral:misc_RNA from 1 species